UACGUAGGUGGCAAGCGUUGUUCGGAAUUACUGGGCGUAAAGCGCGUGUAGGCGGCUCUUCAAGCCAGACGUGAAAGCCCCGGGCUUAACUCGGGAACUGCGUUUGAUACUGUCGAGCUAGAGUGUGGAAGGGGCGAUUGGAAUUCCGUGUGUAGCGGUGAAAUGCGUAGAUAUACGGAGGAACACCAGGGGCGAAGGCGGAUCGCUGGGCCAACACUGACGCUGAGACGCGAAAGCUAGGGGAGCAAACGGG
rnacentral:rRNA from 1 species